AGGUCUUUGUGUCUUUGCCCUGCUUCAUGAACUCAGCUUGCUGUUUCAUAGGCCUUCUGUUGGUACCCUCAUCUGUGCUGCUCUCAGUGGCUGUUGGCCAGCAGAUUGUGCCCCCUCCUAACACUAGGUCAGGAGCUGAGCUCUUAUCCAGUGGGUGGGCAGGUCACUCCCCCUCCUGAUGCCAGAGUCAGAUGCUGUGCUUGGGGGGAAGCAGGUGGGCAGAUCACACCCCGUCCCAGCACCGUGGUCAGGUGUUGUGUUCCUGCCAGGAAGGUGGGUGGCUGCCCACCUGCCCUCUCCUGGUACUGGUCGCUCUGCUGCUCUGUGCAGCUGCCUGCUCUGCCUCGGGUAGGUGGUCUGUAGGUGGGUUCAGGGAAGACCACGGAACAGCCCCGCCUACACUCUGGGCCAAAUCUGAGCUCCUUGUUUCCCUUGGCAGCACAAGUUCUCUGAGGUGUCAGGGUAGAAAAAUCCUCUCUGCCUCAGGCUAUAAACAAGUCUCAGUCCUGCCUAAAAGCCUGUGGAGCCCCCACGUGCAGAUUCAGGUCUCAGCCCUGCCCC